rnacentral:lncRNA from 1 species
UAGGAAUAAUAAGAAUUAUUGACAACAUCCUGGCUAGAAAAUGCAUGGGAAUGGAGAUGGGGAAAAAUACAUUCUACCAUUUGAUAGCCCAGAAUGAAUAACUUUAAGAAAGUAAGUUAACAUAAUAGCCAUCCUUUAUGCUACAUCGGAUUCGAAUUUCACAGAUAUAUAUGCAUAGCAUGUUUAAUACUACCGAUAACGAUAGUGUAUUUAGAU